ACGCUCGACACCUACGGGAGCAGCAGUGGGGAAUAUUGCACAAUGGGGGAAACCCUGAUGCAGCGACGCCGCGUGAGUGAAGAAGUAUUUCGGUAUGUAAAGCUCUAUCAGCAGGGAAGAAGAUGACGGUACCUGAGUAAGAAGCCCCGGCUAACUACGUGCCAGUAGCCGCGGUAAGUACUGAGCGGGCGUGGCGAAGGACG
rnacentral:rRNA from 1 species